UUUUUUUUUUUUUUUUUUUUUUUUUGGCGGGGGGUGGGGGGGCGGGGUAUGCGUUUGUUUUUUGUCUUUAUACCUUCAAGAAAAUUUAAGCACAACCUAACAUGUCCAACGCUAGGCUGAACAGGGCUUGGAGCAACCUGGGCUAGUGGAAGCUGCUCCUGCCCAAGGCAGCAAGGCAGAACCAAAUGAUCUUUAAGACCCCUUCCAUCCCAAACCAGUGUGUGAUUCUCUGAUUCCAUAAAGCACUGGGGUACAUCACCCAGACUGCAAAGGCUUCCAGCUUGUGCCCCUCUUCUCCAGUCACAAAUCAUCUUCUCAAAGAUGAGCCCAGACUACAGCACAAAUGUUUUAUGAGUACCAGGCAUGGCUUAAAGCACAAUUUUGUACACAGUGGGAUAACGAUCUGGACAGCAGGAUGAUAGCCAGGGACAACAAACAAACAAAAUGCAGAGAAGUAAGGAUCAAGAGGCUACUACAAAAUUAUUAGGUUGGAAAAUAGAUGAUUAAGCAGGAAGAAGUCACCCAAAACCAGAGGGCCAUGUGAGUAAUCUGAGCACUUGAGUUUGGAUAUUUUUUGAUAGUGUGUUAUAAAGGAAUGGAAACCUUAGCCUCGCUCAGCUUUGCUGCUGCUCCCGGGGCCGGGCGGGUUUAGGGCACUCAGUGGGAAUAAAACCCAGAGUUGUGCAGCACAAAACUCUGUCACUGCCCUGUCAGCCACUGCAGGCAACAUGAUCCCAUCACCUCCAGCUGACCCGGAGAAGUUCAGCAUUAUUUCACAAAAAAAUCCCAGAGCUGCUGAUGGCAAUCUGCCCUCCAGACAGGCCUUGCGCAACAUCGACCCCUUCCCAAACCCAGUGGGAUCGGAACCGAGACAAACACAAACCCCAGCCCAGGAGGCAGACACAGAACCAGGGCUUUGGGGAGGCUGCUGGCAUUGCUGUGUUUGCACCCGUGCUGCAGAGGAAGGGCUGGAGACAGCCCAGAGCAGGAAGCUGCCAAGCCAAACUGCUGGGAGCAGGAGUGCUCGCUGCUCACUCCUGAGCAAAGCUUCCAGGAAAAGAAAACAAACCCUUUUGGGCUGAGGAGUGCCUGAGUACAAAAGCCAAGCCUCAGAAGGAUGAGUGGGGAGAGCUGGACAGUGCAAUGUGCCUGCACCCAGACAAAUAUCAGGGGAUGGACAGCAGAAGUCCUUUUGUCUCAGGGAUGCACAUGGGACAGAAGGGGCAGCACUGGCACAGCCACUCCUCUGCUGAAUCCCUUCUGCUGAAGAGGCGUCCUAUUCCCAAAGAGCUAUUUAUCCACCACCCUUCAGCUCUAAAACUCAUACAAAUGAUUUUAUUCAUAAUUAAUUAAGGUCUGCAAAUGUGGAAAUUAAAUUACCAUUUACAGUGCAGAAGGAGAUAGCACAGGAAAAGCUGGAUGGCAGCGACAGCUCUGCACGGAUCAGGACAUGGGGGAUGGGGUCUCUCUGGCAGGCACGUUGAGGAACCACACAGUGAAAUCUGUGUUAGCUCAAAAUACAUAUUUCAGCAUCUUUAAAUGGCUGCUCAGGCCCAGUUGCAAGAGACUUUUAUGUCUUAGGUUCCAAAUUAACCCCAAAACUCAGGUGCUCCUCAGCUCAGCUGUCAAUAAUCCCAGGACUUUGCAUUAGGAGCACAUUUUUGGGACAGCAAAAACCCCAGUGUUCCUUUUGUCACUUGGCUCCUCUGCUGGCAAACAAGCUGUUGGGAGAACAAAGGAGCCGCUCUGUGUACGCAACCUCACCUUUCCACUCGGAUCAGGCUGCCAGGGAAGAGAGAACACACAGGAAAACAGAUGGACCCACACUGAACAGGAGGCAGAACUCACUCAAGGGGCUGGGGAGGGAACGGGAUGAGCAAACUGAAGCUCAACACCACCCCUGAGCUCAGCCAUGCCACCACGGCAGGGGCCUGCUGUCACAAACCCACCAAGGUUUGCUCCCUAAUUCACAAGGCAAAGAUUGUGAAAAGGAAUUUUGCUUCUUGUUUCAGUGGAAGUGGUGGUGAGAGUGAUUCCGUGGUAGUUUCAAAGGCAACUCCUCCCAAACCCUGAUAGCCCAGGGAUGCACUCAGCGGCAGACUCCAAUACAAGAGCUGGGAUCUUUUCCCCGUAUAGCCAGCUCCUGGUUUGCCCAAUUGCCAAGGGAGUUUUAGGGGAAGGAGAUGUUGAGAAGAUGGUCUGUAACAGUUACUCAAAGGGACCAGGAAACAGAUGUGUCCCACGCAUUCCCAUGCUCAGCAGGACAGGCAGAUUGCAGGAAAAGUAAUGGCCAUGUUGAAAUUCAACAAAAAAGAAAAGGCUUACAUACGUGACCUUUCUGGUUCUGAGCAGCCAAAGAUAAUGAUGCACCAAGUACAGGGAAGUUUCAGGGUAAAAUUACCCCAAAAAAUCCUUAGAGAAGUCAGUGAGGACUGAGUGGGUGCCUGUGCCAAGUUUUCCUCACAGAAGAAGUGGGGAGGUUCCUUGUAGCACCCCACAGGAGCUUCUUGGGAUCAGUCCUUGCUUGGCAAGGCAAACCCACCAUGCCAAGGAACAGCACAGGCACGUUUGGUGCUGGAAAAGCAGGCUCUGGAGAGAUUUGAGAAUGUGGAUAGCAGGAACAAGAAGAACUGCUCCGUCUGGUCCCUCCUCCUCGCGCGCCCGUGGCCACGAACCUGCUGUCUGUGUGACUCCAGCCACCUGGUGAGUCCCUGUUGCCGCUCACACACCAAGGAUGUGGGAUUCCACAGGGAUCCACGUCUCCCAGGCCUGUGUGAUUCAUGCCUUCAUAGCCACAGGAGCCCUGGUCGUUCCUGAGGGGUGGCUGACCCAUGAACACAGUCAGAGGUGAGCACUUCCAAAGUGCCUGCAGGCACGCUCAGAGACACAACAGCACCACAAGAACUGCAGCUCCCGUGGAACAGGCAGGGAAAACCCAGGGUUUGUUCCCUGCAGUAUAUCCAGUGGACAGAAUGCACACACAGUUCCAUCCUCCCUUCCAGCUUAGGCUAUUCCAGCCCCACAGAGGCCAAGGCUUUACAAGUCAAUCCAAGUCCUGCAUUUCCACACCACGAGGGCAAGAGUUGAGCAGAUGCCCCAAAUGCAGUUGGUAUUUCAGUGCCAUACCCAGGGGAGACCAUCUCUGUGUGUCUGCACCUCCAAGCUCCAGCAAGCUCACUGAUCACAGUGGAUCUGAACAAAACUCUUGCAUUUCAGUUGGAAUCAAUAACAAUUUUAAAGAUCCAGCUCAAAUUGAGCCCAGGGAAGGGCAACAAAGCUGGUGGAAGGUCCAGAGGGUUAAGUCUGAGGAGAGGCUGAGGGGAACUGGAAAGGGGCUCAGCCUGGAGAAAAGGAGGCUCAGAGAGGACCUUGUGGCUCUGCAGAACUUAGCACAACUCCUGACAAGAGGGGACAGCCAGGGGGGUCGGGCUCUGCUCCCAGGAACAGGGACAGGAGGAGAGGGAACGGCCUCAGGCUGGGCAAGGGGCACUUCAGGGUGGACAUCAGCAGGAAUUUCCUCGGAACUGCCAGGGAGGUUUGGAGUGCCCAUCCUGGAGGUGUCCAAGGAAUUCCUGGAGGUGUCACUCAGUGCUCUGGGCUGGAGACAAGGUGGGCAUUGGGCACAGGUUGGAUUUGAUGAUCCUGGAGGUCCUUCUCGACAUUAAUGAUUCCAUGAUUCAGUGAUGCCAGCACCAAGGCAGUCCAAAGUAACAAGACUUGGGUGAGAAGUGAGCUGAGGUGCACCUCACAACUCUCACUGCAUAGAACAUCCCCCGCACACUGAGGAGAGCCAAAGGCCCCUCCAAAGCCAGCUCUGCUAUGAUUUGCAGGAAAACCUCUUCCUGAACAUCUCACGAGUUACAGCCCUGUCCCAGGCACCCAGAAGAAAGACAUUUCCAGAAAGGAGGUGCUUCCACACCUCUUUUGCAAAGCACUGUUUUGUCAAGCCUGGCUUAAAUCAGUCCUGCAGAACACAUCCUCACCUCCCGUUCCCAUCCCACAAACUUAAUGGGGCUGCAGCCUCCCAAUGCUGCCACACCAUCCCUGGCACCCCGUAAGCCUUUGGGAAGUGUGAGCAGGGAGCACCAUGCCCAACUCCUGGAUGUUUUAUGCACAUUUGCUGUUCCAUUUAAUACCAGAUAAUCCCAGACAGGUGGGCUCAGAGCCCCCCAAGCUCCCUGCAGGCUCUGAAGGCUGCCAUCCUCAUUCCUGCCCCCAGCACUGGGUCAGGAUACCCACAGGGAAAAGCCACCAGUGUUCUGACAGCCCCAAUCCCAGACACUCCCCAGCAGCACCAGCACAAAGUCUGGAGCACGGCAGGCAGGAAAACAGCUAUUUCCUCAUCAGAACAACUUCCAUUCACAGCAGGACCCAAUUCAGCAGAAACACCUCCUGCAAACCCCCCCUCACCGAAGUGAGAGGGUCUCACACAUCAUAAAUACCACUCCUGAGCUGGGCAUCAAGGGCUUUGCUUCCUAACGAGCCUUUUCAAACCAGAGCAAACAAUGACCACUAAACAAUUACAAAGACUAACACUGGAAAAUGCCCAUUAGGAAGAAUACAUGAAAAAAGCUUCAAAAGAGAAAAAAAACUUUUACAAAGACGCUCCUCUUUUUUACCCAGCUACAGACAGUACUAAUUUAAGGGAAAACAUUUGGCUGAAAAACAUAGAAUCAUAGAACAGAAUUUGCUUUAAUUAUGUAACUGACUUCCCACACAAACAAAUCCAAACUAUGGAAAACACUUUUAAAAUGGCACGAGUUGAGCCAAAGAGGAGAAUAUGCCACAGUAAUUAAUGUUUCUUUGCAAUCUCUACAAGGUAUUCACCAUUUGGUUUUGCCCAGGGGAAAUAAACACUGCUGCAAAGUGACAUAACACACUGUUUCAGAGUAAAAUCUGUCUCAGCCUCAUCCUGGUUUCUCCCUGGAAAAAGCCACACGUGCACAUGAGCUGAGAGAAGUGGGUGAGCUCCUGAAGGUACUUUCUGGACUGGGCACCCCCUCCCCAUCCCUAGCUCCCUUUGAGGAGUGGAAAUCACUGUCACCCCACUUCAGGAAACUGUCUUAAAGUACACAAACUUAUUUCAGCUCCAUUUCUACCCAGCUGAAGCAUCCCAAGCUGCCUGGGGUUAUCAGAAUAAACAUCAAAGGUGCCCCAGUCACAGCCAUGCCAGGCUGAAUUGCUAACCCAGUGAUGAUCACCAGGAUCCCAGGGAAUUGCACACACAGGAAAAAAGAAAAAUGAGAUAGAUAUACAGAUACUUAAGAAGAAAGCACACCAGGCAAUUACAAAGAAAAGAAGAAUAUAAAAUUCCUUCACAUCAGAGGCAAAAUCAUCAUCCAGGCUAUUGCACUCCAUUAAUCUUUUAGCAGUGCUACCCAUUCAAGGCAAGUAUCAGACAGAGAAUUUAUACUUCAAGUCUUUUGAAGCAAACCUUCUUCCAGAAAAAGGAGAAGCGACCUGAUAGCAACCCAUUUGCAGUGAGGAAAAAAGGGAUUCCCUCUCACACACAGCAAAGUCAGCAGCAAAACUCCCCUAUUAUGGCAGGCUGGUUUCAGCAGCACAUCUGGUUUGAAAGGGGCUCAGAAGCCAAGGCUUAAAACAAGCCUGUAAAGUCAAAUACUUUUGCAGCGAAGGGCUCAGAGGCAGUGGGAAUUUUGGGAGCUUUGACAUAUUUAUGU
ensembl:lncRNA